rnacentral:rRNA from 1 species
ACGCACGCUGGCGGCGUGCUUAACACCUGCAAGUCGAACGGUGAAGCGCCUUCCUUUUUGGUGGGUGUGGAUGAGUGGCGAACGGGUGAGUAACACGUGAGUAACCUGCCCCCUUCUUCUGGAUAACCGCAUGAAAGUGUGGCUAAUACGGGAUAUUCUGGGUCUGUCGCAUGAUGGGUCUGGGAAAGAUAUUGUUUCGGUGGGGGAUGGGCUCGCGGCCUAUCAGCUUGUUGGUGGGGUGAUGGCCUACCAAGGCGGUGACGGGUAGCCGGCCUGAGAGGGUGGACGGUCACACUGGGACUGAGACACGGCCCAGACUCCUACGGGAGGCAGCAGUGGGGAAUAUUGCACAAUGGGCGCAAGCCUGAUGCAGCGACGCCGCGUGAGGGAUGGAGGCCGUCGGGUUGUGAACCUCUUUCGCCAGUGAAGCAGGCCUGCCUCGUUUGUGGGUGGGUUGACGGUAGCUGGAUAAGAAGCGCCGGCUAACUACGUG